CAGCCGCGGUAAUUCCAGCUCCAAUAGCGUAUAUUAAAGUUGUUGCAGUUAAAAAGCUCGUAGUUGAAUUUCGGGAUCAAUAUGUCGGUCGUGCUUUUUGGUACGUACUGGCGUCAUUGGUCUCUCCUUUCUGACGAACCAUGAUGUCAUUAAUUUGGUGUUAUGGGGAGUUAGGACUGUUACUUUGAAAAAAUUAGAGUGUUUAAAGCAGGCAUUAGCUUGAAUACAUUAGCAUGGAAUAAUGAAAUAGGACGUUCGAUCCUAUUUUGUUGGUUUCUAGGAUCAACGUAAUGAUUAAUAGUGAUAGUUGGGGGCAUUAGUAUUCAAUUGUCAGAGGUGAAAUUCUUGGAUUUAUUGAAGACUAACUACUGCGAAAGCAUUUGCCAAGGAUGUUUUCAUUAAUCAAGAACGAAAGUUAGAGGAUCGAAGACGAUCAGAUACCGUCGUAGUCUUAACCAUAAACUAUGCCGACUAGGGAUCGGAUGAUGUUAAUUUUUUAAUGACUCAUUCGGCGCCUUACG
rnacentral:rRNA from 1 species